GACGGACCACACGAACGUUAUUCGGAAUUACUGGGCUUAAAGGGUGCGUAGGCUGUGCAGAAAGUUGGGUGUGAAAUCCCCUCGGCUUAACCGAGGAACUGCGCCCAAAACUACUGUGCUUGAGAAAGAUAGAGGUAAGCGGAACUUAGGGUGGAGCGGUGAAAUGCGUUGAUAUCCUAAGGAACACCGGUGGCGAAGGCGGCAUCCUGGACCGGCAUUGACGCUGAGGAGCGAAAGCCAGGGGAGCAAACGGG
rnacentral:rRNA from 1 species